GCACAAGCAGUGGAGUAUGUGGUUUAAUUCGACGCAACGCGAAGAACCUUACCAAGUCUUGACAUCCCUUGACAGGCAUAGAAAUGUGUUUUCUCUUCGGAGCAAGGAGACAGGUGGUGCAUGGUUGUCGUCAGCUCGUGUCGUGAGAUGUUGGGUUAAGUCCCGCAACGAGCGCAACCCUUAUUGCCAGUUACUACGUUAAGAGGACUCUGGCGAGACUGCCGUUGACAAAA
rnacentral:rRNA from 1 species